UUUAGUCAGGCAACGAGCGAGACCCGUGCCCACUGUUACCAGCAUAUCCUCCGGGAUGAUGGGUACUCUGUGGGGACCGCCGGUGUUAAAUCGGAGGAAGGUGCGGGCCACGGUAGGUCAGUAUGCCCCGAAUUUCCCGGGCUACACGCGGGCUACAAUGAAUGGGACAAUGGGUCCCUCCCCUGAAAAGGGCUGGUAAUCUCACAAACCCAUCCUUAGUUCGGAUCGAGGGCUGUAACUCGCCCUCGUGAAGCUGGAAUCCGUAGUAAUCGCGUUUCAAUAUAGCGCGGUGAAUACGUCCCUGCUCCUUGCACA
rnacentral:rRNA from 1 species